GAUGAAGAACGCAGCGAAAUGCGAUAAUUAAUGUGAAUUGCAGAAUUUAGUGAAUCAUCGAAUCUUUGAACGCACAUUGCGCCCCUUGGUAUUCCGGGGGGCAUGCCUGUUCGAGCGUCAUUUCAACCCUCAAGCUCUGCUUGGUCAUGGGCCGCGCCGGCAACGGCGGGCCUCAAAAACAGUGGCGGCGCCAUCUGGUCCCUCAGCGUAGUAAUUCUUCUCGCUGCUGGGCCCCGGUGGCCGCUUGCCAGCAACCCCAAACUUUCUAUGGUUGACCUCGGAUCAGGUAGGGAUACCCGCUGAACUUAAGCAUAUCAAUAAGCGGAGGA
rnacentral:misc_RNA from 1 species